rnacentral:misc_RNA from 1 species
GAUGAAGAACGUAGCGAAAUGCGAUAAGUAAUGUGAAUUGCAGAUUUCAGUGAAUCAUCGAAUCUUUGAACGCACCUUGCGCCUUGUGGUAUUCCACAAGGCAUGCCCGUUUGAGUAUCAUUAGAUCAUCAACUCUAAAACCUUUGUGGUUUUUUUAGAGCUUGGUCUUGAGGGUUUUGCAGGCUUUUUUUUUUUUCGAGUCUGCUCCCUUUAAAUGCAUUAGCGAGACUUCCCUAUGCUGAACCGUCUCUUUGACGUGAUAAUUAUCUGCGUCGAAUUUUGGUUCUCGUUGGGCUUGCUUCUAAUCGUCUGUUAAAGACAAAACGGAUUUGGGUGCAUAUAUGCGCCUUUUUCCAAAACCUUUUUUGAUCUCAAAUCGGGUAGGACUACCCGCUGAACUUAAGCAUAUCAAUAAGCGGAGGA